AUUGAACGCUGGCGGCAGGCUUAACACAUGCAAGUCGAGCGGAAACGGAGGUAGCUUGCUACCAGACGUCGAGCGGCGAACGGGUGAGUAACGCGUAGGAAUCUACCUAGUAGAGGGGGAUAGCCCGGGGGAAACUCGGAUUAAUACCGCAUACGCCCUAAGGGGGAAAGCAGGGGAUCUUCGGACCUUGCGCUAUUAGAUGAGCCUGCGUCGGAUUAGCUAGUUGGUAGGGUAAAGGCCUACCAAGGCGACGAUCCGUAGCUGGUCUGAGAGGAUGAUCAGCCACACUGGAACUGAGACACGGUCCAGACUCCUACGGGAGGCAGCAGUGGGGAAUAUUGGACAAUGGGGGCAACCCUGAUCCAGCCAUGCCGCGUGUGUGAAGAAGGCCUCGGUGUAAGCACUUCUAGUAGGAGGAAGGACUACGAUAGCUAAUAUACUAUUA
rnacentral:rRNA from 1 species